rnacentral:rRNA from 1 species
UCCAGGCCCUACGGGGUGCAGCAGGCGCGAAACCUCCGCAAUGUGAGAAAUCGCGACGGGGGGAUCCCAAGUGCCAUUCUUAACGGGAUGGCUUUUCAUUAGUGUAAAGAGCUUUUGGAAUAAGAGCUGGGCAAGACCGGUGCCAGCCGCCGCGGUAACACCGGCAGCUCUAGUGGUAGCAGUUUUUAUUGGGCCUAAAGCGUCCGUAGCCGGUUUAAUAAGUCUCUGGUGAAAUCCUGCAGCUUAACUGUGGGAAUUGCUGGAGAUACUAUUAGACUUGAGAUCGGGAGAGGUUAGAGGUACUCCCAGGGUAGAGGUGAAAUUCUGUAUCCUGGGAGGACCGCCUGUUGCGAAGGCGUCUGACUGGAACGAUUCUGACGGUGAGGGACGAAAGCUAGGGGCGCGAACCGGAUUAGAUACCCGGGUAGUCCUAGCUGUAAACGAUGCGGACUUGGUGUUGGGGUGGCUUUGAGCUGUCCCAGUGCCGAAGGGAAGCUGUUAAGUCCGCCGCCUGGGAAGUACGGUCGCAGGACUGAAACUUAAAGGAAUUGGCGGGGGAGCACCACAACGCGUGGAGCCUGCGGUUUAAUUGGAGUCAACGCCGG